ACUAAACCGAAAUCAAGUGCUGU
rnacentral:siRNA from 1 species